CACUAUGCCUAGCCAUAAACAUUGACAGUUCACCCACCCCACUGUCCGCCAGGGAAUUACGAGCAUUAGCUUAAAACCCAAAGGACUUGGCGGUGCUUCAAACCCACCUAGAGGAGCCUGUUCUAGAACCGAUAAUCCCCGUUCAACCUCACCCCUUCUAGCCUUUUCCGCCUAUAUACCACCGUCGCCAGUUUACCCUGUGAAGGUUCAACAGUAAACACAAUCGGCACAGCCCAAAACGUCAGGUCGAGGUGUAGUGAAUGGAGGGGGAAGAAAUGGGCUACAUUCCCUAACACUAGGGCAUACGAAUGACAUGCUGAAACGCACAUCUGAAGGAGGAUUUAGCAGUAAGUAGAGAAUAGAGUGCCCUACUGAAGACGGCUCUGAAGCGCGCACACACCGCCCGUCACUCUCCCCAAGCUUACAUCCCAAAUUUACUAAAACACGACAACUGCAAAGGGGAGGCAAGUCGUAA
rnacentral:rRNA from 1 species